AUCAGCUUCCCUGGACACACUGAGUAAUAUGCCAUGGCUAUAGUGGAGUGGUUAUCAUUCUAGCUACAGACUAGAAUCUCUGAGCAGCUUUUUAAGAAUAUUCACUUUUAGAUCUCACCCCAGACUAAUUCUUUCAGAAUUUUUCUAGGCCAGUCCCAGUAUUGGUAUUUUUUUAAAGGUCUCCAGUUGAUCUGUUACGUAACUGGGGCUGAGAACUGCAAACUCUUAGGGGAUGCAUAAGGCUGCAUGAGUGGCUGAGUGUGGUGUGGCGAAUUUCAGUUCUUUCCAGGGUAAAGACCUUCUUUAGGCCUUUGGGAUUUUUAAUGUAAUCAAAACAAAUUACUUGUUUGAUUGUCUCAGCAUACCUGUGAGGACAUCUGUAAAGGCGAAGAUCAAACUGAUGAAGAAACUGUCAAGAAAUGCUGUUGAAUCUCAGCCAUGUAAGAAGAGCCUUUCACCUCCUGCCAUGAUUCUGAGGCCUCCCCAGCCAAAUGGAGCUGGUCUCACUGGGUCAUCCUGGCUAGAGUGCAAUGGUGCCAUCUCAGCUGACUGUAGCCUCAGCCUCCUGCGUUCAAGUGAUCCUCCCACCUCAGCUGGCAGGAGAAGGAGUUUCAGCAUGUUGCACAAGCUGGUCUUGAACUCCUGGACUCAAGCAAUCCACCCACUUCAGCCUCCCAAAGUGCUGGGAUUACAGGCAUGAGCCACUACACCUGGCCUCAAAUGACCUAUCUUCAAGUUCACUGAUUCUUCUGUUUGACGGAGUUUGCUGUUGAAAUUCUCUGUGAAAUUUUUCAGUUUAAUAACUGUGUUUUUUUUUUUUUUUUUUCUGAGACAGGGUCCAGCUCUGUCACCAGGCUAGAGUGCAGUGGUGCAAUCACAGCUCACUGCAGCCUUGAUUUCCUGGGCUCAAGCAAUCCUCCCACCUCAGCCUCCUGAAUAGCUGGAAACACAGGUGUGAGCUACCACGCCUGGCUAAUUUUCAUUUUAAUUUUUUGUGGAGACUUGGUUUCACCACGUUGCCCAGGCUGGUCUCAAACUCCUAGACUCGAGUGAUCCAACCACCUCAGCCUCCCAAAGUGCUGGGAUUACAGGUGUCAGCCACCAUACCUGGCCCAAUAGUUGUGUUCUUUAGCUCCAGAACUUAUGUUUGGUUCUUUUUAUAGUUUAUAUCUCUUUAUUGAAAUUCUCAUUUGGUUCAUGUAUUGUUUUCCUGAUUUUAUGUAGUUGUCUAUCUGUAUUCCCUUGUAGCACAUUGAGCUUUCUAAAGAUGAUUGUUUUGAAUUCUUUGUCAGGAAGUUUACAAAUAUUCAUUUCUUUAAGGUUGGUUAUUUUGUUCCUUUGACACCACAUUUCUGAUCCUUGCAGGCAUGCUUUGGUGCUGCCCAUUUGAAGAAGUAGGCAUUUAUUUUAAUAUUUAAAGACUGGCUUCAUCGGGGAAAGUCCUUUCCCAGUCAGUCCAUCCAGAAAUUCUGGGCUGGCCAUCUGGUAUGGUCAGUGAACAGGUUUGCUGCUAGAUCCUUCAGGCAGGCUUGCCUGGUACUUGGGUCAGCAAGUUGGAAGGCCACAUGCCUGGGUCCAUGGGGUUAAGCCUGGAGCCUUGGUCUACUGGGGUGGACAUGGAGUUUAACACCACAAUGAGCUAUCACUUCUCGUCUGUUAGAAUGGCUAUUAUCAAAAAAUAAAAUCAGAAAUAACAAGUGGUGGAGAGGAUGUAGAGAAAAGGAAACUUUGUACACUGUUGAUGGGAAUGUAAAUUAGUAUGUAUGCCCAUUAUGAAAACAGUAUAGAGUUUCCUCAAAAAACUAAAAAUAGAACUACCCUAUGAUCCAGCUAUCCCAUUACUGGGCAUAUAUCCAAAGGAAAUAAAAAUCAGUAUGUCAAAGAGAUAUCUGCACUCCCAUGUUCAAUGCAACAUUAUUCACAACAGCCAAUAUAUCAACCUAAGUAUCAAUCAACAAAUGGAUAGAUUUUUUAAAUGUGUGUAUAUCCACAGUGAAGGAAGUCCUCUCAUUUGUGACAACAUGGGUUAACCUGGAGGACAUUAUGCCAAGGGAAAUAAGCCAAGCACAGAAAGACAAAUGAUCUCACUUCUAUAUGAAAUCUAAAAGUCAAAUUUAUAGAAGCAGAGAUUAGAGUGGUGGUUAUUAGGGGCUGCAGGGGGCGACUGAGGAUAGAGAUUGGGGAGAUGUUGGCCAAAGGAUUCAGAACUUCAGUUAGGAGGAAUUAUUUCAAAGAGAUCUAUUGUACAAUACUACAAUGACUAUAGUUAUUAAAAAUCUAUUGCAUACUCGAAAAUUGCUGAGAGUAGAUUUUAAGUAUUCUCACCACACACACACAAAAUGUGAGGUAAUGCAUAUGUUCAUUAUUUUGAAUUAGUCAUUCCACAAUGUAUACAUAUUUCAAGACCCUGUGUUGUAUACCGUAAAAAUAUACAACCUGUAUUUGUCUAACUAAAGAUUAAUUUUAUUUAAAAGAUUUGAGACAAACAAUAGACUAAUCAAAAAGCUUACAAGGAAAAGCUGGGAAGGAGAUAUCCAUAGGGGCCUUUGAAAAGACUCCUGGGAACUAGAAGUUCAUGUGCCUGUGUAGGUCAUCCCAAUUGCCUGAACUUCUGCUGUAAUUAUUGCCAAACCACAUCAUUUUAAAAUUAUAUGGAAGCACAUAUGACAAUUAUGUUAGUUUCAUCUCUCCAACAUUAUAUUAACAUCUAAUUUUUGUGUACCACUGACUAUGCUCCAGGAACUGUUGUAAGUGCUUUAGAUGUGUUGACUCAUUCUCAUAGGUUAAACAUUAUUGUUACUCUCAUUUUACAUAGGAGAAAACUGAAGCUUAGAGUUUUUAAAAUCUCAAGGCCAAAAAGCUAUGAAGUUUUGGAACUGGGAUUCAAAUGCCAGUCUUUCAGCUCAAGAGGCCAUUCUUCUGAACACCAAGGUAUAUCUCCUCUAGCUUGGCCUCUAGCUUAUAGAAAGGGCAAAGGCUUUGGAGUCAAAGACUUGUGGAUAUGCCACUUUCUAACUUGGGGAAAUCAUUUUAUCCCUCUGAGGGGUCAGGCUGAUGCUACCACCUAUUUCAUUAAGAUAUUACAAAAAUUAAAUCCGAGUGUGAAUAGAAAUAUACUUUGUGUAUUGAAAAGUGCUAAUAAAAAAAAUUCACUCAUUAAAUACCUGGAUCAUGGGGAAGGUAAGAAAAACUGUAUGGUAGAGCAGAGUUAGUAAGACCUGAGUUUGAUUCUGACUUGAACAGUUGCUAUUUCUGAGACCUUGGGCAAAUCAUUUCAUCUGUAUGGGUCUUAGUUUUGGCAUAUAUAAACAAAUGCACCUCUGAGUUCUGAGGGUUAACAAGAAAAAAUAAACAAAACACCUGACAAAUACAGCAAACUCAAUAAAUACCAUGUCCCUUCCUACUCUCUUUCAAUGUCACAGAGCAAUGCCCUAUUUCCACUCACUUAGCUUUUCUACCUAAACUUGUCAGCUUCUGACAUAUUACUUACUGAUUUGUUUCUCUAUUUUGUUUAUUUUCUGUCACAGGUAAACCCCUUGAGAGCCAGAGCUUGUGUUUUUCUUUACUGCUGUAUUCCUAACACCUAGAACACUAUCUAGAAAAUAAUAAGUGUUCAGUAAAUAUUUAUUGAAGGACCCAUUAUUAUUAUUUAUUAUUAUCAUUAUUAUGAUCAGUGUCAUGGGCUAUAUAACUGCAAUAACAGCACAAUAUGAGGCAAAUAUUAAUUAAGUAGCAUUAAAGUGUAUAAUAUGCUCUCAAUCCAGUUUUCUUGAAAAUUAAUUUUCAGAGUACCUGAAUCAGACUCAUUUUUGGUACUCAUUACAUCAGAAUUGCCAAAUCAAAAGAGAGUUAUUCCAAGAAUUUAACCUUUAAAUAUAUUUCACCUUUUCUUCCUUCUGUUUUCAUAUAAUCCAGAGUCUUGUUUACCAACCAUUUGAACAUUCUACUACUUAAAGUAGUAUAAAGUUUUGUUAUAAUUUGGAUGAGGCGAAGAUAAGGCUAAGGAGAAGAUAAAUUUUAAAUUCAAAGGUUGGCUCUGAAAUUAAUUUUAUUUUCUUAACUAUGUGUACAUGGAUUAAAGCCAGAAAAAAAAUUUAUAACCCAGUUGCCAUAUAUCUGAAGUCCAAAUAUUUUCUCUGGCCCAGAACAUUUGUCAUAAUUUUUAUGAAAUGAUUUUUCUAAUUUUUUUCUCACUUCACUGUUUUUAAGACAACUUUGGAUAACAUGAAUUCAUUAGAGUUUAACAUUUGUGGUCAGCUAACAGGCUAUCAUUCAAAAGAUAUCUAGGAAACCACCUAUAUGUUACAAAGAAAGAUAUACUUUCAGGCCACGCACGAUGACUCAUCCCUGUAAUCCUAGCACUUUGGGAGGCCGAGGUGGGCGAAUCUCUCGAGCCCAGGAGUUCGAGACCAGCCUGGGCAACAGGGUGAAACCCUGUCUUUACAAAAAACACAAAAAUUAGCUGGGUGUAGUGGCAUACACCUGUAGUCCCAGCUAUUUGGAAGGCUGAGGUGGGAGGAUCGCUUGAGCCCAGGAGACAUUGCAGUGAGCAGAGAUCUCACUACACUCCAGCCUGGGCGAGAGAGUAAGACUCUUUCUCAAACAAAAGAAAGAUAAACUUUCACAAUCAGAAAAUAGAAAAUACGGCAUUCAAGCAACUGCCUCAUUCUCAUCCUAAACGAUUUCACUGCACUGUGGACCUACACUAGGUUAAAUACGGUUACAAUUUCAAAACUGCAGCAGCAGUCAAGGCCACCCAGCUACUCCAGAGUUCAGCCUCAGCAGGAAGGGUAUUCAAACCCACUCGCACACUAGGUCUUUAGCUCUAAGUACAGUGUCAGUUUAAACUCCAGUUCUUAUAUGUUCUGGAGGUCAGAAUUUGGAAAUGCUUAUCUUUACGUAGAUUAUAUAAUUUACUCAACUAAAUCUUAAGCACAAAUAGUUUUAUACUGUGAUCUACCUCUUGUCUACCUGCUCUUAAAGCUGGGCAGAGGGAUGAGUGAAGAGAUCAUGGGAACAAGUAGCCCCAAAUAUUAAUAACACCUGGAAAAGGAUCCACAAUAAGUGGAGUAGAGGGUGGUCAAGGGAAGCCCCUGCCUGACUGCUUAGCCAAUGUUUCUUUCCUUUCGCUCACUGACCAUAAUCUUGAGGCAGCACAGAAGUGAAAAUCUGCAAACGAUGCUGUUAUAUUGGAAGUGAUUUCUCUAGCAUCAAUACUUCAGGUAUAUCAAAAGGAAUCAGCAAAUGCCUUUCACAAAUGGUAAAGAGAGGAGGCAUCCAGAGCCAGGUGAUGAAAUAGAUGCUUAGUCAUGCCUAUGAGACAGCUGGGUGAAACAUGAAGACAUCACUACUAGACGAUAAAUUUUUUUUUAGGAACAUAUAUUAGAAGCCAGAAUCUCUUCAAGAAAAUGGGAUAUAGGACAAUCAAUAUUCUACUCUGAAAAAGAAAAAAAAACUCUUUAUUCCUAUGAAAGAAUCAUUAACUGUAACAGAACAACAACUCUGUGAUAAACAUCAAGAUUUCAUAUCCACAGUAAUGCACACACUUUCAUGGUGUUCUCUGCAGCCUAAAUUGUCUUUGUUCCAGUUGCUAUUACUUAAAUAAAGCGGUCAUGGUCUCCCUGUCUCAAAAGACACUUAGAAGCCUGCAACACCACUGUCUUCAGCAGCCUGCCUCACCACUCCCAGAGGCAGCAGAUGCCUAAACUAGAAGGAUUAUAGCGGCCUUUAAUUUCUCUAAUGACAGCACUUAGACCCUAAUUGUCCAGGCAAAUAAUGCAUGCUACAACCGUGGGAGCAAAGGCUCCUUUUGGUCUCUUUCCUCCCAGUGUUUUCCUGAAACCAAACUGAAAGAGGAGAGCAUAGCAGUUAUGCAAGGUGGACUUGCCCUGAAACAGAAUAAUGCCUUUCUGGGGUCAUGACUGCCUUAAGGAUACUUGAUCACAGAAUGGGAACAAUUUUCUAAGUCCUGCAAUUUAAUUAAGCCUCAUUAACCACUAUAUAACAGUCACCUGGCCACUGGUAACUACGACUCUUAAAAUCUAGUCUUUUAAAAAUGCAGAACAUUUCUAUCUAAAUAUGUUCUUUAAAAAUAUAGAGCCAAAGUUUUCAUAAGAGACAGGACCAGCAUAAAGACAAGAAAAGAAGAACAUAAAGUACCAUGUUUUUCAAGAAAAAGAAAAUAAGGUCUGUUCCAUUACAUGUACAGACAAAGUGAAAUUAAUCAGAAAGAGAAAUAUCCCUGUGGACAAGGGUGCUUGUAAGAGAUUCUAUAGUAACAAAUUUCUUAUCCCCAUUUCACAGAUGUGUAAAAUGAGAUUACACAACUUGUUCAAGGUCACAUAGCCUGUAAGUAAGGAUUCAAAUCCAAGGACUUGAUUUCAAAUUUCAGGACUAUCUCUCCUGAAAAUGGUAGGAUUUGAACUAACUUUUGAACAAGUAAAGAAUUUAUAAAAGUUAAGAAAUUAGCGGGGAAAAGAAAAUAAACAGCAAAGCCACAGAAGUAGACUGGAAUGUCUUGGAAGGAUAAAAUAAGGGGGAUGGAACAACUUAAAUGGAGGAUUUAGCAAGAAAUCAAUUAGAAAACAUGAGAACCAGAAGAGGACCUCGAGAGAGAAAAACGAAGAAAGCAGUAGUUUAGGGAAACUGAUCUGAUAGCUAUGUGUUUGAAAAUAAUGCCCUUUGUUGAAUACCUCCUAUGUUUCAGACAAAUAUUAUUUUACCCAACCUUCACAACUGAUUUGGAAAUACAAGUACUCUUAUUAUUAUAUUAUAUUAUAUCAUAUUAUUAUUAUUACUUUUCUUUUCCUGACAGCAAAGCUUCUCUGGGUGUGGAAAUCCCAUAAUAUUUCUCUAAAUCUAAGCACAAAAGUAUAAUAUAACCAACACUCAGAUAACAGGAAGCAGUAAAAGACCUUUUGUGUUCAUAUUUUUCAACCCAACAAUGAUCUUCAGAAGAAAAUUCUAGACAAAAAUUGCAUUUUUAAAAUAUAGAGCUUAAAACAUCAAAUUAUGUGCCAUUUUAAAGAACUGUUGUUCACAAAUCUACAUGUAUUUAGUAUGCAAUCACAAAACUGUGUGAACAAAUUGAUUUUAUAAAUAGAAGCUGAUUAAAUAGUGUAAUUAGCUUGGAGUGGAUAAGUACUUAAUGAAGGAUCUUAUUCUAAGCAUACUCUUUGAGGAGAAAAAACUAAUUGUCGUAAGAAUUGAACCAAAUCUUGUUCAUAUUAGCGUUUUAGAUCAAUUCAAUUCAAUAAAUAUUUACAGAAGACCUACUAUGCUAAGUAUUUUUUAGUCUUCGGAACCGUCAGUCCCUCCAACAGUCCCUCCAACACUAAUGUUUAUGUUUUGUACCUUAUCGGCUGCCACCCCCUUCCUGUCUUUGCAAAGUGUUUAGACUAGGGUAUACCUGGCUUAAGCCGAUCCUUAGCUUGCCCUGUAACCUAUAACAAAUUAUGGCCUGGCUCAAAAAUGGAAGCUUUAUGAAUCCCCUGCUGGCCUAUUUGAACUAAGAGACUACAGAAAGUUGCUCAAUAGUGAUGAAAGCUGAAAGACCUAGAUCAUGUACAGUCCAUCCUAGAACAGUGUGGGCAUUUGUGUCACCAGAUUUAGAGGAACUGCUCUGACAGAGAGAAUAUGAGAUAGAAAUGGGAUAGGCCAUGCAUCCCCUGAGGGAGAAGCAGAUGAAAACGCUGUGUUUCUAAUGUCUUCUCAGUUCUAGUUCCCAGGAGUCUUAUACAUACUCUAUGCCUGUAUUUAGAUAUCACUGGUUGUCUUCACCAUAACCUCUGUUGGGUGCUUUUCAGUGUUUCUCUGUUCCCUUUCUUAGGCAAAAUAUCCUUGAUACCUGCUGUGAUUCAGCCUCUGAACUGUCAUUCCAAGAGUUCAAAGAUGACUUGGAAAGUCCCUUUUUUUAAAAAUCUUGCAACCAGUUGGAUAAUAAAUACAGGUAUAUUUCAAAUAUAACACAAAACAGACCAUAUAUAAGAGUACAAAUACAAUAAAAGAACAAACGAAAGAAUGUCUGGUUCAAAUUAGUUGUAUUGAGAAGGCUUCUUGAAGAAGGUUAAAUUUUCAAUGGCUCUUAAAUAAUGUUAGAGUUUCCAAAUUAAGGAAAGUGGAGAAUUAUAUUCUAAUGCAAGGAAACAGUGUUAGCAAACAUGAUCUGAAAUGACUUUACUAGGCAAUGCAUGUAGAAUGAGAGAAUUUAAGAGGAGAUAAACAUGGCACAUCCCAUAGAAUUUGGAAAUUAUUGUGUAGCCCAUGGAGACUUUUAUUUAGCGAAAUUAUGUUAUUAACAUAAGGCUGUAAAAAGCUUAAAAUUUAGUAUUUAGUAUUCACUAGGAGUGGAGGAAGUCAAGACACCAGUUAUUAGGCUAACUGAUUAUAGUAGGCCUGAUUCUAGAAGUAUUUAGAAGACCUAAAAGUUAUUUUCUGGAUUAUAUGUAUAAGCAAAAUUCAAGGAAAUCUGUUUACUAGGACAAGGUUCCACAAGUCUCAGGAGAAAAGGUUGGAAAAGGAAGAGGAUGUGCCAGGAGGAGAGGAAGGGCAAGGCAGUGCAAUAUUUAAAGUCUGUGAGAAAAUAGAAACUGAGAAUGGCAGCCAAGGACAACAGAGUUGAGAAGCAGAGUGAAAUUAAUUAGCCUUAAGGGUCCAAAGGAAUUCAGUUGUAAAGUAAUUGCAGUGGUUUACGUUUAUAGCAGAGGAACAAUUUUGGAACCCACAAAAAUUAUCAGUGUAUCAGGGUGACUCAGUUUGGUCAGUGAGUAAUCAGACCCAUGAAAAGCAAAUGACUGCAUUGGCUAUUUAGAACUCACCGGCCGGGUGCGGUGGCUCACGCCUGCAAUCCCAGCACUUUGGGAGGCCGAGGCAGGCAGAUCACGAGGUCUGCAGAUCGAGACCAUUCUAGCUAACACAGUGAAACCCGGUCUCUAGUAAAAAUACAAAAAAUUAGCCAAACGUGGUGGCAGGCGCCUGUAGUCCCAGCUACUCGGGAGACUGAGGCAGAAGAAUGUCGUGAACCCAGGAGGCGGAGCAUGCAGUGAGCCAAAUCGCACCACUGCACUCCAGCCUAGCAACAGGCUGAGACUCUGUCCCAAAAAUAAAUAAAUAAAUAAAUAAAUAAAAACAUAGAACUCACUUUAGCUAUAUUUCUUGAUCCUGGGAAAAUCCCUG
rnacentral:lncRNA from 10 species